UAGAUAAAGAGAAUAAGUUGGUAUUCGAAACCCUGGUCGCUCGUCAACAGCCCCAUCUUUCGUCUUUUAACUUUCCAGUACUCUACCCUAACCCUAGCUUUUUGCUGCCGCAGCACCACCGAUCUCGAUCGAUCGGAGAGAGUGAUGGAGGAAUUGGAUGCUGCUGAGUCAAAAAGACGAAAAAUUGAGAAGGUUGAAAUGGCGAAGGAAGCGUGCCUUUGCCUUAUGACGUAUAAAAAGUUGAUCGUGAUCAAACUGAGCAAUUUAAAGGAAGAAAUUGAUGUCAAAGAUUGGACUUGUUUGCCUCCACCACCGUUCGAGAUGUUUUUGGAUCUUCCAGAUCAUGAUAUGUGUCCCUUCGAGUUCGACUCCAAGAUCUAUAUGGCGCCGUCGGAGCGGACCAGCCUGCCGCCUGAAAUUGGCAGAAGCAAAUCCGUUUCCAUGGGGAAUUUGGUCCCCUGGCCAAUCUACGAAGUCAAAUUUGAGGAGGGCAGAAUUGCCCCUACGGGAUCACUGGAUGGUGCACCCUUUCCUUUUCAGGAAUCAUACAUCGCAAACACGCCAGGCUCAGGCGAUGUUUACUUCUAUAUAAAUCUGAGGCGACCUGUCAAAGAUUCAUCUAGAUUUUACGUUCUUUGUUCUGGUUCUAGAGUUUGGAAACCCUUAAAUGGCUCCUGGGGCCAUCAGCAGCGAACCAGAUGUCGAGAAUACCAUGUUCGUUCUCGACAACAACCUCUUUUUUUAUCAUCCACGGAGAGAGACUCCUGGCAGUGGCCAAUGUCGUAUUACUUAUUUCCCACACAUUUCCGUGUCCCUUCACGGUCUUGGCAGCAGCAACUACACCGUUUGCCUUACACAUGGGUAUGUGAUGGAACCUCCUUAUACACAUUUGGAACAUCGUCAUCCGUGAGAUUCUCCUCGGAGCAACCACCAGGCUUCCCCGGGCAACGCUCCACGGCUAUAAAGAGGUCGGAACUUUGCAGAGCAUACUCUUUCGGUGCGGUCGACCUCAGCUGGAAGACCGGCAGUUUCGGUUCGCUCUGCGGCAGCAGUAGUACCUCCGCUGAGCAAAUCCACAAUCCGAACACCUAUGGCUGUUCCUCCAAUUGAUCCUCCUUCCAAUCGGAACCGAUAGAAAAAGUUGCUUGUAGCAUUUCCAGGUUUGACCAUUAAUUAAUACUAUAAAGCUGAAUCGUCAUAAAUUUUAAAGAACUAGUGGGCUUAGACUCUUCUAAGACUUCAGUGACACUUCUAUUCAGACUUUAACGGUGCCAACUGCCAACUUCCCUAGCAACUGGAUAUGCUACAAGAGGAGAAUGAGGUUAUAUUAGAAAAGGUGGUGCUCUUCUGGCCUAACAAAGUUGGUUUUAAACUCAAAUUAUGUGAUAUUUAACAUAUCUGCUUGAUUAUAUUGACAGUUAAGAGAUGCAGAG